rnacentral:rRNA from 1 species
ACGAGGAGCUUGCUCCUCUGACGUUAGCGGCGGACGGGUGAGUAACACGUGGGUAACCUACCUAUAAGACUGGGAUAACUCCGGGAAACCGGGGCUAAUACCGGAUAACACAUGAAACCGCAUGGUUUCAUGAUGAAAGACGGUUUUGCUGUCACUUAUAGAUGGACCCGCGGCGUAUUAGCUAGUUGGUAAGGUAACGGCUUACCAAGGCAACGAUACGUAGCCGACCUGAGAGGGUGAUCGGCCACACUGGAACUGAGACACGGUCCAGACUCCUACGGGAGGCAGCAGUAGGGAAUCUUCCGCAAUGGGCGAAAGCCUGACGGAGCAACGCCGCGUGAGUGAUGAAGGUCUUCGGAUCGUAAAACUCUGUUAUUAGGGAAGAACAAGGGUGUAAGUAACUAUGCACCCCUUGACGGUACCUAAUCAGAAAGCCACGGCUAACUACGUGCCAGCAGCCGCGGUAAUACGUAGGUGGCAAGCGUUAUCCGGAAUUAUUGGGCGUAAAGCGCGCGUAGGCGGUUUUUUAAGUCUGAUGUGAAAGCCCACGGCUCAACCGUGGAGGGUCAUUGGAAACUGGAAAACUUGAGUGCAGAAGAGGAAAG